AACGAACGCUGGCGGCAUGCCUAACACAUGCAAGUCGAACGAGACCUUCGGGUCUGGUGGCGCAUGGGUGCGUAACGCGUGGGAACCUUCCCGUAGGUUCGGAAUAACUCCCCGAAAGGGGUGCUAAUACCGGAUAAUGUCUUCUGACCAAAGAUUUAUCGCCUUUGGAUGGGCCCGCGUUGGAUUAGCUAGUUGGGAGGGGAAAAGCCUCUGAAGGCGUCGAUCCCUAGCUGGUCUGAGAGACUGAUCAGCCACACUGGGACGAGGCCACGGUCCGGAAUAUUGCGCGAGGCAGCCGAGGCGAAUCUUGGAAUACGGGGGGAAGCAUGAACCAGCUCGGGCGCGUAAGCGAUGAAGGCCUUAGGGUUGAAAAGCUCUUUUACCCGGGGUGAUAAUGACGGUACCGAGAGAAUAAGCACCGGCUAACUCCGUG
rnacentral:rRNA from 1 species